AUUGAACGCUGGCGGCAGGCCUAACACAUGCAAGUCGAGCGAGCGGCGGACGGGUGAGUAAUGUAUGGGGACUGCCCGAUAGAGGGGGAUAACUACUGGAAACGGUGGCUAAUACCGCAUACUAACGGAUAACCCAUAUGGGAUUAGCUAGUAGGGGGGGUAAAGGCUCACCUAGGCGACGAUCCCUAGCUGUUCUGAGAGGAUGAUUAGCCACACUGUGACUGAGACACGGCCCAUACUUCUUCGGAGGCAGCAGUGGGGAAUAUUACACAAUGGGCGCAAGCUUGAUGCAGCCAGGCCGCGUGUAUGAAGAAGGCCUUAGUGUUGUAAAUUACUGUCAGCGGGGAGGCGUUACCCGCAGAAGAAGCACCGGCUAACUCCGUGCCAGCAGCCGCGGUAAUAC
rnacentral:rRNA from 1 species